AACGAACGCUGGCGGCAGGCCUAACACAUGCAAGUCGAACGCCCUAGCAGUAGGGAGUGGCAGACGGGUGAGUAACACGUGGGAACCUUCCCUAUAGUACGGAAUAGCCCAGGGAAACUUGGGGUAAUACCGUAUACGCCCGUGAGGGGAAAGAUUUAUCGCUAUAGGAUGGGCCCGCGUAGGAUUAGCUAGUUGGUGAGGUAAUGGCUCACCAAGGCGACGAUCCUUAGCUGGUCUGAGAGGACGACCAGCCACACUGGGACUGAGACACGGCCCAGACUCCUACGGGAGGCAGCAGUGGGGAAUAUUGGACAAUGGGCGCAAGCCUGAUCCAGCCAUGCCGCGUGAGUGGUGAAGGCCUUAGGGUUGUAAAGCUCUUUUGUCGGGGACGAUAAUGACGGUACCCGAAGAAUAAGUCCCGGCUAACUUCGUGCCAGCAGCCGCCGUAA
rnacentral:rRNA from 1 species